AUGAUCGAGGCGCUGAACCGGGUCAUUUAUUCAGGAGACACAAAGAAGAAGUUCAUGAUCAUACUCACCGUCUGCAGAGCAGCUUCAGGCCUCCUGCUGCAGAGACACAGAGGACAGAGCAGACGUCUGCCUGCUGCACCCGCCAUCUACCAACCACAGAGCUGCCGUGACACGCACACUGCGACCGAGCUUCAGCUGUGCAAGCUUCUGUCAGAACCAGAAUCAUUACUGAUCAUUACAGUUACUUUGAUGGGAAGUUGGAACGUGUCAUACAUGGAGUCACGAGUGUUGAAACUGAACAGGAUGGAUGUUUAUCUCUGUUGGAAGACGAUCCUGGCAUCAGACGAAGGUGAAAACACAUCAGGCUCAGUGCAGAACUAAAACUUUGUUUUGGCUUCAGAGUUUCACACUCGCUGGAUGUGAAACUUGUUUGAUUAACACAACAACAGAACUGAAAUGUUUUCCAUCUCUGAUCAUCUGAAGUUACGUCAGCUGAUGGAUCAGAGGGCGUCACCCACAGCAUUCAGUGUCGUCUUUAAAUCCAUCACAGCUGAUCAGUAACAUCAGAAACAGCAGUGGGUCAAACAUGUAACACAGCUGUGGCGAGCGAGCUGCUGUUGCGGCCGUGAAGAACUCACCGACGAUGAGCAGCAACACCGAACCCAGCAGCACGUAGAACAUAACGCCCGUCAGAGCUCCGCCCUCCUGCUUCUGCAGACACACAAACACGCAUCAUAGAUGUGACGGUUUAACACGUCACACGUCUGUGCAGAUUAGCAACACGUGAGCAGCAGACUGCACUGAACCAAAAACAACCCGUUUAUUAGAGCUGAUCCAAAACAACAAAAAGGCAAAGAAACAAAAUCCAGAGCAGGAACUGAGGGCAGGACUAUUUAUACACACACCAGGUAAUCAGGACGCUCACGCUAAUAACAUAAUCACGACUCAGAUGCCAGACUACUACAUCCAUAAUGAAAUCUCUGGAACCUUCGGUGGCUCGUACCCUGGGGGGGGCGGGGCAGUAGUAGCAGUAACAUCGAUAACAUGACAAAAUUAUAACCAGAACCAAAGACUGAAAGCACUGAACGCCCAAACUCAACAAAUCAAAAGCAUCAAAUAAUAAACGAGCACCAAACUCUUAGCCCGCCGUCCUCUGCCUCCGUUUUCAGCUGAUAUCCGGCCCCUGAUGACAGGAUGUGAAUGGAUUCAGUUUGAUUUAAGGACCUUUCAUUAGUACAUGUGUAGUUAUAGACACCCUGAAGCCACAGCUGUUUGUGCACAUCACUCUGACUCUGUCCUUUGGGGACGCUCACAUGGAUCCUGCUGCUGGUACUCAGAGGAGAGACUUCUACAAACAGCUUCACUCUCUCCAACAUUAGACACACCUGACAUCAAUAUAACAGGUUACUCAUUCUGUUUCCCACAGGAUCUCUCACCUUGCUGCCGCUCGUCACACUGUGUGUCACGGUUCUGGGUCCGUUGGACCCAGUAUUUUGAGUUUAUUAUAUUUUGGUUUACUUUUGCAUUAUGGAUUGUUUCUUAUGUUUCUCUGGCACUUUGUGUUUCAGUUAUCUUGGUGUUUUGGAUUUUCUCAUUUUUGUGGUGAUGGUGGUGGUGAUGAUGAUUAUUGUUAUUGAGUUCCAUGUUUCUGUUUAUUGGUAUUUAGGAUUUGUGUUCUCAUGUUUUGUGUGGGUUUAGUUCCAGGUGUCAUUUUCUGUCUGUCUCUCAGUGUCAGGUCUGCGUCUUGGUGUUGUGUUCUCAUUUCCUGUUUUAUUGUGAAGGUCCGCGUCUCAUGUGAGUGUGUUCAGUUUUACCCCUGUCUCGUCUUGUUGAUUAUUCCCAGCUGUGUUCCCCACCUGUGUGUAAUCUCCUUGUGUUUCUCUGUGUGUAUUUAAGUCGCGUCUUCUGUGUUUGUAGUUGCUGGUCCGUCUGUGUAUCCACCCUGCGUCAUCUGUGUGUCUCCCUGCUGUCUACCGUCAUCCACCUCUGCUCGCCGUCUUUCAUGUUCAUGCUCAGGUUCCUCCUCCGUAGUAUAGUUGUUUCCAGUAUAGUUUAGUUUGUCUCCGUUUGCCAUGUUUUCCCUGUGUCGUGUUUUUCAAUAAACCACCUUCUCACCUUUACAAAGUGCCUGCAUUUGGAUCCUACUUCGUUAUCUCUACACGGCUCAUCUCACUCGCCGUGACAGUACGGACCAGCCAGCCAUGGAUCCAGCGGCAUUCACCUCACCCACGGAGCUUCGAGGGCUCAUAACGGACUCAGCUACAAAAUUAAUCGAUCUGUGGCUAAAGCAUGAGGGAGAAGCAUUUCUCUAUGCUGUGGAGGACAAGCUACAACAGCUUAUUUCCGGUUACCCCUGGUUAUUGGACUCACUGCACCCGCUCGUACAGGAUUUCUUCUUCACGAGCUUCACCUUCACCCUCCCGCCGCUA
ensembl:lncRNA